GUGCCAGCCGCCGCGGUAAUACGUAGGUGGCGAGCGUUGUCCGGAAUUAUUGGGCGUAAAGCGCGCGCAGGUGGGAUCUUAAGUCUGUUUUUAAAGUGCGGAGCUCAACUCCGUGAUGGGAUGGAAACUGGGAUUCUUGAGUAUCGGAGAGGAAAGCGGAAUUCCCCGUGUAGCGGUGAAAUGCGUAGAUAUGGGGAGGAACACCAGUGGCGAAGGCGGCUUUCUGGACGAUGUCUGACACUGAGGCGCGAAAGCUAGGGGAGCGAACGGGAUUAGAUACCCGCGUAGUCC
rnacentral:rRNA from 1 species